UGCUUCCCAGAGGCCCCCGCGGCGCGUCUGUGGGUUUCCAUUCGCCUGCCGGAGCACGCAGUGCGUUUGUCUGCCCCUGGCUCUUGAACGGCAGCCUCUCUCUGCGCUGGGGCCGUCGCUGGUCGCCUCUCACCUGGGACAUUCGUUCUCCUCUCCUGCAGCCCCGGAAAGGGGGCUGUUUAGCCACGCAAACUUCUCGUCUUAGCCGCUCAGCUUCUUCUGGACCUGACACACGCGGCUGGAUUUCAUCACUCAUUAUUCCUGCCUCUUGCCAAGAGGCUGAAAGCAAUAGUACUUCCUUGAGAGAAGGGAGAUCUUUCCUUUGGCACCUUCCUCCCUGCUGGAUGAAUCACAGACAAGAAGCCAUGGACCGGGUUAACACUUAAGGAACAGCAAACAGGACAGAAGAAACCGAGCCCCUGACAGUUUAUUGGAACAGAAUUUGGGCCUCAACACCAAA